CAGAAUCAGUGACUUCAACAGGAAGUCAAGGCAGCGAGACACCAUUGAUCAAAGGUGAAAGCGAGUGACAGAUUGAAGAGGUCUGUGAUUUCCACUCCAUAAGAAAUCUGCAACAUUGAACUUCUGAGCUUCUGUUUUGCAAGAGAAGUAAACAUGUUUUAUUAAAGUAAAGACACAAUUUGUAAACUACACAAACAUAAACAAUAGGGUCACCAAACCACCAAAAUGGAUUGAAUAUCAUUAGGAGUCAUGUUGCAAAAAAGUUGCAGUGCAAUGAAGCUUUAAAGCUGCACUAAUCAAUAUUUAUGUUUAACAUUUUACAACAAUCCAAGUUGUACCAGCAGAUAAUUAGACUUUAAAUUAGAGUUUACUGGUAAAAGUUUGCUUCACUCCAGUUAAAGAAAUAUUGUAGCAGUGUUGAGUGAUACACAGAUUGGCAUAUGCAGCUCAAACAAGGCUGCAGUAGAUCCUCCACACCAUAAACUAUAUUUAAAUCUAUAUUGAACAUCAAAUCACAAUGUUUCUAUCCACAGUGGAUCUUUGCCUUAUUUAAACUACACACCAUCCAUAUGAGUGUAUAACCUUGAUGACACAUAAUGUAUAAGAUGUUCAUAAUCAGAGUAAAUGAUGAACUGUGUCAAUCAAAGAGUGACGAGAAUGUUGAAUGUAUGUAAAUAUGUAAAUAGAGAUACGUUCAUAGAUAUUUUUCACAUUUUUCAUAUUAAUGUGUUAAACAAAUUCAAGAUGACUUUUUCUUUCUUUCUCUUUGGUGACAGUUGUAGCAAGAUGUGUAAUACAGUUUAUUCUGUAAAUGUUCAUAAUGCAAAUGUACAUAUAGACUCAGUUAUGUGAUUUACAUGCAGCAACAUCCACUCUUGUCCCCUUAAAUGCUGUCGAACAUUCAGCCCUUUGAUUUAUAACUGGAGACGUCUGCAGCACUCUGCACUGUAUUUAUCAAGAAGUGGGUUGGUCUCUCCAUCAGAAGAUAACAGCGUUAGAGAACAUUUAUUCUUAUUUCUUUAUAAAGGCUGCUCCAAACAUUGCCCCUAUAUUUGACAUCACUUAAUGGUGAACUGAACUGGGAAAGAUGGAUUUUAGAUUCCUUGUAUCAUACAUUGGGGUGAAUAGCAGUGUACCUUCACACUUACUUACUAUAUGCAAUGCAAUUUAUCCAAUGGGUCAAUUCAAAAUCAAAUCAAAUCCCUGAUUGAUUUUAGGUGUGACUGGUCAUGAAUGCAAUUUAUUUGGUGAUUAUGAUUUUUACCUUCGACUGUUACGUUUAUUAUUUAUUCUGCAUUGUUACUAUUAUUGCUUUAUUUUAAAUUCUCACGAUUGAUAUUGUACAUUUUAAAAUUGUUUGUUUUUAUAUACUUGUGUGCUCAGGAAUCUCUUGAAAAUUAGAUGUGUAGUUCAUUUGGACUUAUUGAAAAAAUAAAAUAUACAAACACA